GGCCCUAUCGUCUAACGGUUAGGACAUCUCCCUCUCACGGAGGAAAUAGGGGUUCGAUUCCCCUUAGGGCUA
rnacentral:tRNA from 1 species